GUGGGUAGUUUGACUGGGGCGGUCUCCUCCUAAAGAGUAACGGAGGAGCACGAAGGUUGGCUAAUCCUGGUCGGACAUCAGGAGGUUAGUGCAAUGGCAUAAGCCAGCUUGACUGCGAGCGUGACGGCGCGAGCAGGUGCGAAAGCAGGUCAUAGUGAUCCGGUGGUUCUGAAUGGAAGGGCCAUCGCUCAACGGAUAAAAGGUACUCCGGGGAUAACAGGCUGAUACCGCCCAAGAGUUCAUAUCGACGGCGGUGUUUGGCACCUCGAUGUCGGCUCAUCACAUCCUGGGGCUGAAGUAGGUCCCAAGGGUAUGGCUGUUCGCCAUUUAAAGUGGUACGCGAGCUGGGUUUAGAACGUCGUGAGACAGUUCGGUCCCUAUCUGCCGUGGGCGCUGGAGAACUGAGGGGGGCUGCUCCUAGUACGAGAGGACCGGAGUGGACGCAUCACUGGUGUUCGGGUUGUCAUGCCAAUGGCACUGCCCGGUAGCUAAAUGCGGAAGAGAUAAGUGCUGAAAGCAUCUAAGCACGAAACUUGCCCCGAGAUGAGUUCUCCCUGAGACUUUAGGUCUCCUGAAGGAACGUUGAAGACGACGACGUUGAUAGGCCGGGUGUGUAAGCGCAGCGA
rnacentral:rRNA from 4 species